CGCUGGACUACAUUUCCCAGAAGGCCGAGCGGGCUGUCGCUCCCUGCGGGGACCGUUAGACGAGUGAGGUGCGAGCCCGGUCCCCACGGGUCCGACCCAGGGCGACGGGAAGGGCCUCAGGCCGCCCUGCGAGCAGCGAGCUCGGCCGUUACUGAAACUGGACAGGGUGCCUCGUUCUCCUCGGAACUCCAUCCCUGUGCGAUGGAUACUGGGGCUGGGGCUGGAAAUGACCUCGGGCCUGACCUGAAACCUUCGCCAGGUAAACUGCCCAGAAGACGAGCAAGGAAGGAGUGAUGAACGACUGCAAAUAGUUUCCAGUCUGUGGUUGGGUUUCCUUUUUACUUGCUUACUUCUGGAAAUACCCGCUUAAUAAUUUGCCAUGUGAAUAUACAAUUUCCCCAUUGGAGAACAACACAGCUAGUGCCUAGUGUUAAAGCCUCCAUAUGUCUAAUGUUCACUUUUACCAAAAAUAAUGCUUGUUGAACUA